AUACAUGUAGCUCAGUUGGUAGAGCACUUGACUAGAGAUUCAGAGGGCCAGGUUCGAAUCCCAGUUUGUUCU
rfam:Crassostrea gigas strain 05x7-T-G4-1.051#20 contig6176, whole genome shotgun sequence.